rnacentral:rRNA from 1 species
ACGCUCGACACCUACGGGAGGAGCAGUGGGGAAUAUUGCACAAUGGGGGAAACCCUGAUGCAGCGACGCCGCGUGAGCGAAGAAGUAUCUCGGUAUGUAAAGCUCUAUCAGCAGGGAAGAAGAUGACGGUACCUGACUAAGAAGCACCGGCUAAAUACGUCNCNNNCGCGUAUNUNGNGGCGNGNAG